rnacentral:rRNA from 1 species
UACGUAGGGUGCGAGCGUUAAUCGGAAUUACUGGGCGUAAAGCGUGCGCAGGCGGCGCGUUAAGACAGGUGUGAAAGCCCCGAGCUUAACUUGGGAAUUGCGCUUGUGACUGGCGAGCUGGAGUGUGGCAGAGGGAGGUGGAAUUCCACGUGUAGCAGUGAAAUGCGUAGAGAUGUGGAGGAACACCGAUGGUGAAGGCAGCCUCCUGGGCCAGCACUGACGUUCAUGCACGAAAGCGUGGGGAGCAAACAGG